UACGGAGGGUGCAAGCGUUAAUCGGAUUUACUGGGCGUAAAGCGCGCGUAGGUGGCCAAUUAAGUCAAAUGUGAAAUUCCCCGAGCUUAACUUGGGAAUUGCAUUCGAUACUGGUUGGCUAGAGUAUGGGAGAGGAUGGUAGAAUUCCAGGUGUAGCGGUGAAAUGCGUAGAGAUCUGGAGGAAUACCGAUGGCGAAGGCAGCCAUCUGGCCUAAUACUGACACUGAGGUGCGAAAGCAUGGGGAGCAAACAGG
rnacentral:rRNA from 1 species